rnacentral:lncRNA from 1 species
CGGCGCUCUGACGCCGCCCCCGCCCCACAGCCUCCCUCCCCGGGAGGGGCGCAGACCCGAUCGCCCCCAGUCCCGAGCCUCCGCCGCCGCGAGGGGGCCGCCUUUGGAUCCGUGUAAUCCGCCUCUUUUUUUCUAUUUUCUUUUUUUUUUUUUUUUUUUUUUUCUAAUUUUUGGUUGGUGGCGGCGGUGCUGGGCCAGGGGAAGGAAGGGACACGGAGGCCGCCCUCGCCCCGCCACCUCCUACCAGCUUCCCCCCAGCCCCGGCUCCGGGAGAUGUGCCGGGCGGGGGGCCCGGGUUCGCCGAGCCGCAGGAGAGACACGCUGGGCCGACCCCAGAGCGGCGCUGGACAGAGCCAACACAGAUCUAUAGAUUUCUUUGAACUCGGAAUCUCAUAGCACCAAUAUUUUUGCACAGAACUCUUACUUACAUGUCUCAUCGAAACUCCAGAACAAACAUCAAAAGGAAAACAUUUAAAGUUGAUGAUAUGUUAUCAAAAGUAGAGAAAAUGAAAGGAGAGCAAGAAUCUCAUAGCUUGUCAGCUCAUUUGCAGCUUACAUUUUUGGUUUCUUCCACAAAAAUGAUAAGCCAUCACCAAACUCAGAAAAUGAACAAAAUUCUGUUACCCUGGAAGUCCUGCUUGUGAAAGUUUGCCACAAAAAAAGAAAGGAUGUAUGUUGUCCAAUAAGGCAAGUUCCCACAGGUAAAAAGCAGGUGCCUUUGAAUCCUGACCUCAAUCAAACAAAACCUGGAAAUUUCCCGUCCCUUGCAGUUUCCAGUAAUGAAUUUGAACCUAGUAACAGCCACAUGGUGAAGUCUUACUCGUUGCUAUUUAGAGUGACUCGUCCAAGAAGAAGAGAGUUUAAUGGAAUGAUUAAUGGAGAAACCAUGAAAAUAUUGAUGUCAGUGAAGAGCUUCCAGCCAGAAGAAAAUGAAAUCGUGAGGAUGGGGAAAAGACAUUUGUUGCACAAAUGACAGUAUUUGAUAAAAACAGGCGCUUACAGCUUUUAGAUGGGGAAUAUGAAGUAGCCAUGCAGGAAAUGGAAGAAUGUCCAAUAAGCAAGAAAAGAGCAACAUGGGAGACUAUUCUUGAUGGGAAG